rnacentral:rRNA from 1 species
ACUCAAAUGAAUUGACGGGGAGGCACACAACCAGUGGAACAUGUGGUUCAAUUCGAUACGAAACGAAGAACCUCACCAGGGCUUGAAAUGCUACCGUACAGUCGGCUGGAAACAGUUGAUAAUCCGCAAGGAUGGUAGCACAGGUGCUGCAUGGCUGUCGUCAGUUCGUUCCGUGAGGAGUGCCCUUAAGUGGGACAACGAACGCAACCCCCAUCUUGUGUUAUAUUUGUCACAAGAGACUGCCCUGACUUUGUCGGGGAGGAAGGAGGGGCAGACGUCAAGUCAGCAUGGUCCUUAUGCCCUGGGCUACACACAUGUUACAAUGAAUAAAAACAAUGAGCUUGCGAGCCUGUAAAGGCAAGCUAAUCUCUGAAAUUUAUUCUCAGUGGGGAUUGAGGUCUGCAACUCGACCUCAUGAACGUGGAAUUGGUAGUAAUCGCGGGUCAGCUAUACCGCGGUGAAUACGUUCUUGCCUCUUGCACACACCGCCCGU